AGUGAACGCUGGCGGUAGGCUUAACACAUGCAAGUCGAACGGCAGCACAGUAAGUGCCUGCUCUUAUGGGUGGCGAGUGGCGGACGGGUGAGGAAUACAUCGGAAUCUAUUUUUUCGUGGGGGAUAACGUAGGGAAAUUUACUCUAAUACCUCACACGACCUACGGGUGAAAGCAGGGGAUCUUUUGACCUUUCGCGAUUGAAUGAGCCGUUGCCGGAUUAGCUUGUUGUCGGGGCAAAGGCCCACCAAGGCGACGAUCCGUAGCUGGUGUGAGAGGAGGAUAGGCCGCACUGGAACUGAGACACGGUCCAGGCUCCUGCGAGACGCAGCAGUGGGGAAUGUUGGACAGUGGUGGCGAGCCUGGUCCAACCAUAGCAAGUCGGAGGAGGAGGCCUUCCGGUUGUGAAGACCUUUUGUUGGGAGAGAAAAGCAGCCGGUUAAUACCCCGCUGUUCUGACGGUACCCAGAGAAUAAGCACCGGCUAACUACGUG
rnacentral:rRNA from 1 species